rnacentral:rRNA from 1 species
AUCCUGGCUCAGGAUGAACGCUAGCGGCAGGCUUAACACAUGCAAGUCGAGGGGCAUCGGGAGUAGCAAUACUGCCGGCGACCGGCGCAAGGGUGCGUAACGCGUGAGCAACAUGCCCGUAUCAGGGGGGAUAAUCCAUGGAAACGUGGUCUAAUACCCCAUAGUAAUUAUGUAAGGCAUCUUAUAUAAUUUAAAGCUUUGGUGGAUACGGAUUGGCUCGCGUGACAUUAGCUGGAUGGUAAGGUAACGGCUUACCAUGGCUACGAUGUCUAGGGGUUCUGAGAGGAAGGUCCCCCACACUGGAACUGAGACACGGUCCAGACUCCUACGGGAGGCAGCAGUGAGGAAUAUUGGACAAUGGAUGGAAAUCUGAUCCAGCCAUGCCGCGUGCAAGGAAGACGGCCCUAGUGGGUUGUAAACUGCUUUUGUAUGGGAGCAAUAAGGGCUACGUGUAGUCCGAUGAGAGUACCAUACGAAUAAGCACCGGCUAACUCCGUGCCAGCCGCCGC